rnacentral:lncRNA from 1 species
AGUUCAAUCCCUGGUACAAAAAGAAAAAAAGAGUUGAAAGUUGUCUACUUUUUUUUUUUAAGUACCGGGAUCAAACUCAGGACCCUGUGCUUGAGAGGCAGACAUAGCACCAAUGAGCUAAAUCCCUAGCCCAAGACAUACUAUUUCUGAAUUUUUGAAAAGCAAGGAAAUAAUGUGGUCUACAGAUUAGCUGUGUACUUUGACAGUUGCACAGUUGUUUUCAGUUUUCAUGAAGUGAGAGUUCCUUCAGAAUCGUACUGCAUUCAUGAGUUAUAAACAUUUCAGAGAUCAUUUUUAAAUGUUUUAUAAAUAUAUAUAUAUAUUUUGGUACCAGGGAUCAAACUCAGGUCCUUGCACUUGUGGGGCAGGGAGCAGAACCACUGAGCUCAAUUCCCAGCCCAUUCCAGAGAUCUUUGCUUUUGAACUUCCUGUUCUUUUUACCCAGUAUAUUUUCCUAGAAAUAUUUUUUGCUCUCAUAUAGUGAAUAGCAGAAUGUGAGUGGGUGAAUAGUCCUAUUGACCUGUGCACUUUUCCUCUUGUAGAGAUACUUAUUCUCGGGUUAUCGAUAAUUCCUAGUCUUCAGUCUAAAUGCCAGGAGGAGCUAUUUAGGUGACAGAUGUGAUUUCUUUGGUUUUAUAUAUAUUUUUUAACAAGAUUAUUUCUCGAUCACAUUCAGAAGUGAUCAUUUGGUGCUUUCUAGAGUAUUUCCUAUCACUGACGAUGUCACAUGACAGAAAAGUGGCCUUACUGAUAUUUAUUUCUUUUUUUAAUUGUGGUGGCAGGCAGUGUCAACCUAUUGUGUCACCUCACAGCGAGACAGCCCCAAUUCCAGUUCUUAUUCAGAUAAGGAAUUAUCAGCGCAUUGAGCAGAAUCUGACGUCUACUGCCAGCUCUAGUACAAAUUCACAUGGUUCUCCAAGUUGGUACCAUUCCUGAGCAGUUUAGUCAGUGCUGCUGUGGGCAUCUUCAGGGCCAUGAAUCCAGGAGUAGAAACUCCUCAGGUAGGAAAAUGUAUUUGGUAUUUUAAUAAUUUGAAUUUCAUUAUGAAUGGAUUUAAGUUGUUUUUCUGGUCUUAUCAGAAGAACUGAAUUGAUAUGAAAUAUUUCCUCUGCUAUCCUAUUUUUUAGAAUCUUAGUCUAAUGUGUUUCUUUUUGGGGGGGGGGACUGGGGAUUAAACUCAGAACCUUAUGCUAUUGAGGCAGGCACUGAGCCACUGAGCUACAUCCCUGGCCUCCUAAUGUGUUUCUGUAUGUCAUAUAGGUAAUAUCCCUUUUUACAUAUAAAAUUACUUUAUGAAAACAUUCUUAGGAAUGAAAUAACAGGUAAAUUUUGAUUGUCACACAUAUAAUGAAAAUAUAGAAAGUGAAAUUUCAUUACUUUGAUAAAUAUAUAUAUAUAUUUUUUUCUUUCUUUCUUUUUUUUGUAUCAGGGAUCAAACUUGGCACCUUGAGCUUUCGAGGCAGGCACCAGAACCACUGAGCUGAAUCCCUGGCCCAAUAAAUAUAUUUUUGAUGUAUUUUGUUUCAAAAGAUUUUCACAUAAAAUCUGGAAAAAAUAGGUAAGAUAAGGAUAACAUGAGAAAGAGAUAUAUGUUGCUGCGAACAAACAAUAAAAUUAUCUACCUGCUAUAGCCAAACAUAUCAACUGGAAAAACAACCAUGAAAACUGAGUCAGAGUUUAGUGUGGAAGAGGCUCUCCUUCCUAUCAACCAAAGGAAACAUGCUUGGUUCUGGGGUUAAUCAUGCCAAGCUAUUUUCUGUAGAGUAAGUGAACAGGAUUGACAGAUUUGUGCCCCCACCCUCCUUCCCCACCUUAAACGUUGAAAGGACAUGCUGUUUGAAGGUGCUUAACCAAAACUUCGAAAACCAAAAAUCAUUCUGAAGGGCUGCACUGUAACUCGACUCAAAAAUGCUUUCUCUCUGGACUCAGCCACUGCAGUUACUAACGGGAUAAACAGGUCAACCAGUCCAACGUAAUUUGGCAGAUAGAGGCCAAGGAAGAGCACCUUCACAAGAACUGGUUCAUUUCAACAUGCAUACUGCCUGUCCUCUAAAUUUGUGUGCUGUCAACCACAAAACCAAAAUAAGAUACUCAGAGCCAAACUUGCUUUUUACCAAGGGGAUAUGCAUGGACAACUAAUUUUGUUGGAAAGGCAUUUGGGAAAGGGGGUUGUGGCUGUUGCACUCACGACAGGCUCCCCAUCAGCAGGACACCCGCAAACACCCUGAAGGGGCUCAGAGGUGGACCGUGCUGUGGAACCGCGCCCUUCCCGGUCACGGAGCUCCGAGGACGUGAUGAUGGCCAAGGGCUUGUUGGUCCCUGACACUGCACAGCGUCCUGCGGGUGGCACCAAGGAGGGUGCAGAAGGCCCCCUGGGCCCAUGAGCCAGCCGGGGAGCUGCACCCACAUGCCUGCCCACCGUGGUGGCGGGAGCCUGAGUGACCCCCCCCACC